AUUUUCAAGGGCGUCACUUAAUUUAAAGUUGGAUUGUGUAGACGAUCGUCUUUAAAUAAAAUUAUAGAAGGAAAAAUUGUUGUGUUGUGCUUUUUUCUUUCACUCAGUCAAACUAGUAAUGCUUUGGAAUGUUAUGUGAAAGCACCAAAUAAAACUCUCUCACAAUGUCCGCAAGGAGCUGAUAAAUGUAUUGCAUCAAAAGUUAUUGCCACUAUAAACACCACGGACAAUAUAAUGGAUGGUUUCCAGUGCGGCAAUAGCACAAUAUGCGACUCAUUGUGUAAAAAUAUAGAAGAAUAUAUGGAAAAAGACAAAGACGUGAAGUUUAAGAGUUGCACAAGGAAGUGCUGCAGUACUGACAAGUGCAACGAAUCUGCAGAUAAUUACGCAAAUUUUUUUGUUGCUAAUGUAAAGAUCGUUAGCUUUGUUCUUUUCCUUUCGUUAAAUUGGUCGAAGUACUGUUAAAACAGUUGUUGUUAGUUUAGCUAAGUAUUUAAAAAACGGUUGCAAAAAUUUUAAUGUAAAUUUAACCGCUGCUUUUUUUAUACUGUUUAAAAAUUUUACCUUUGUCCCCUAGGUGUAUUUUCUAAUUUUCACUGGGUGUACUCUUCGCCAAAAGAACUCUUUUAAUUGAAAAGAAUGCGUGUUUUGCUGUCUAGAAAGUCCAGUGAUCUUUAUCAUCGUGGCAGUUACUUUGAAAUUGUCAAUUUAUCUUCUUUCUUUCCAGACAGUUUUGUUACUUCAAAUCAUAAGUUCUUAUGAUUUUCUUAUUAAUAUUAAAUUGAAAGUCUGAAAUUAAAAUGACAGUAUAAACAAAUGUACCGACUUUAGGGCACUGAUUGUGAUACAGAUAGUAUGCAAAUUUUAGAUAAGUGCCAUUGAAAGUUUUGGUAGAGAACACGAAUUUAUCAGGUACAAUUUUCAGAAUAGAGAACCGUUUUUGUUUAUUUAUGACACUGGGAUAAAAUUAUUUAAAAGCACAUGUUAAAUAUUAAGUGAGGAAUCCCUCAGUAGCAAUCGAGUAAAACUACUUUAUACGUACUGAAAAUUUUUAAGACAAUUGUUAAUCCCAGUGAUUUUAUGAGAUCUUU